AUUGAACGCUGGCGGCAGGCUUAACACAUGCAAGUCGAGCGGGGGAAGGUAGCUUGCUACCGGACCUAGCGGCGGACGGGUGAGUAAUGCUUAGGAAUCUGCCUAUUAGUGGGGGACAACAUCUCGAAAGGGAUGCUAAUACCGCAUACGUCCUACGGGAGAAAGCAGGGGAUCUUCGGACCUUACGCUAAUAGAUGAGCCUAAGUCGGAUUAGCUAGUUGGUGGGGUAAAGGCCUACCAAGGCGAAGAUCUGUAGCGGGUCUGAGAGGAUGGUCCGCAACACUGGGACUGGGACACGGCCCAGACGCCUACGGGAGGCAGCAGUGGGGAAUAUUGGACAAUGGGGGGAACCCUGAUCCCGCCAUGCCGCGUGUGUGAAGAAGGCCUUAUGGUUGUAAAGCACUUUAAGCGAGGAGGAGGCUACUGAGACUAAUACUCUUGGAUAGUGGACGUUACUCGCAGAAUAAGCACCGGCUAACUCUGUGCCAGCCGCCGCCGUAA
rnacentral:rRNA from 1 species